GAAUGACUCUCGGCAACGGAUAUCUCGGCUCUUGCAUCGAUGAAGAACGUAGCGAAAUGCGAUACUUGGUGUGAAUUGCAGAAUCCCGUGAACCAUCGAGUCUUUGAACGCAAGUUGCGCCCGAAGCCAUUAGGCCGAGGGCACGCCUGCCUGGUGUCACAC
rnacentral:rRNA from 1 species